rnacentral:rRNA from 1 species
AACGCUAGCUACAGGCUUAACACAUGCAAGUCGAGGGGCAGCAUGGUCUUAGCUUGCUAAGGCCGAUGGCGACCGGCGCACGGGUGAGUAACACGUAUCCAACCUGCCGUCUACUCUUGGACAGCCUUCUGAAAGGAAGAUUAAUACAAGAUGGCAUCAUGAGUCCGCAUGUUCACAUGAUUAAAGGUAUUCCGGUAGACGAUGGGGAUGCGUUCCAUUAGAUAGUAGGCGGGGUAACGGCCACCUAGUCUUCGAUGGAUAGGGGUUCUGAGAGGAAGGUCCCCCACAUUGGAACUGAGACACGGUCCAAACUCCUACGGGAGGCAGCAGUGAGGAAUAUUGGUCAAUGGGCGAGAGCCUGAACCAGCCAAGUAGCGUGAAGGAUGACUGCCCUAUGGGUUGUAAACUUCUUUUAUAAAGGAAUAAAGUCGGGUAUGGAUACCCGUUUGCAUGUACUUUAUGAAUAAGGAUCGGCUAACUCCGUGCCAGCAGCCGCGGUAAUACGGAGGAUCCGAGCGUUAUCCGGAUUUAUUGGGUUUAAAGGGAGCGUAGAUGGAUGUUUAAGUCAGUUGUGAAAGUUUGCGGCUCAACCGUAAAAUUGCAGUUGAUACUGGAUAUCUUGAGUGCAGUUGAGGCAGGCGGAAUUCGUGGUGUAGCGGUGAAAUGCUUAGAUAUCACGAAGAACUCCGAUUG